ACACUCCUUCUCCUCUUGAAGAACAUGAGAAAUGGGUACCCUAAGGCCACAAUUAGGUGGUGGAAAAGCCUUUUCUUUUCCAGGCUGAACAAACCCACAUCCCAGCAAAGCACCACAAACCAUGUUAUCACUUCCUUGUGCCCACCUAAGUGAGGAGCCACAGAGCUUUAGGCCUAACACAGCACUCCCACCCUACAGGUGCCAUCUCUUCCUUGCAAAGACAACUGGAGAUCCAAGAAUCUGAGCUUCGGAGAUUCAGAUACGAAAACGAAAUGCUUCAGAAGCAGCUCAGAGAGCAAGAGGACCAGCUCCAAGCCAUGUCUGACAAGUUUUGCAGCCUUACAGAGGAACAGAGGAAGGAAGAAGUGAUGGUGAUGAUAGAGGAGGAGAACCACAGCCUUCGACAGGUUGUUACAGAACAGGAAUCCCAGCUGGCUAAGCAGAACGAGCAGAUCAGUGAGUUAGAG